UCCCUCCGUGCUCGGGAGGCUUCACGUUGCUUUCACGUUGCCUGGAGAGUGAGAGGGGUCAGUGCGCACCAACCCCUCUUGCUCUUCAGGCUUCGAAGAUAGUCACCUGAAGCCUCCAGGUGCACUCUGGAG